rnacentral:rRNA from 1 species
UACGGGGGGGGCAAGCGUUGUUCGGAAUUACUGGGCGUAAAGGGCUCGUAGGCGGCCAACUAAGUCAGACGUGAAAUCCCUCGGCUUAACCGGGGAACUGCAUCUGAUACUGGAUGGCUUGAGUUCGGGAGAGGGAUGUGGAAUUCCAGGUGUAGCGGUGAAAUUCGUAGAUAUUCGCAAGAACACCAGUGGCGAAGGCGGCUCACUGGCCCGAUACUGACGCUGAGGUGCGAAAGCGUGGGGAGCAAACAGG